GGAGAGAUGGCUCAGAGGUUAAGAGCACUGACUGAUCUACCAGAGGGCCUGGGUUCAAUUCCCAGCUCCC
rnacentral:tRNA from 1 species